rnacentral:rRNA from 1 species
CCCGCUGAACUUAAGCAUAUCAAUAAGCGGAGGAAAAGAAACUAACAAGGAUUCCCCUAGUAACUGCGAGUGAACCGGGAAAAGCUCAAAUUUUGAAUCUGGCGGUCUUCAGGCCGUCCGAGUUGUAAUCUAGAGAAGCGUCUUCCGCGCUGGACCGUGUAUAAGUUUCCUGGAAUGGAACGUCGUAGAGGGUGAGAAUCCCGUCUUUGACACGGACUGCCAGGGCUAUGUGAUGCGCUCUCGACGAGUCGAGUUGUUUGGGAAUGCAGCUCAAAUAGGGUGGUAAUUCCCAUCUAAGCUAANUACAGGCGAGAGACCGAUAGCGAAACAGUACCGUGGAGGGAAAGAUGGAAAGAACUUUUGGAAGGAAAGUUAACCGUACGUGAAAUUGCUGAAAGGGAAACGCUUGAUGUCAGUCGCGUCGUCCGGGGAUCAGCCUUGCUCUUUUGCUCGGUGUAUUUCCUGGUCGACGGGUCAGCAUCGGUUUUGACCGUCGGAAAAUGGCUCGAGGAAUGUGGCACCCUUCGGGGUGUGUUAUAGACUCGGGUCGAAUACGGCGAUUGGGACCGAGGAACUCAGCACGACCUUAGGGUUCGGGGCUUCGGCCCACGUUAACGUGCUUAGGAUGCUGGCAUAAUGGCCUUAAGCGACCCGUCUUGAAACACGG